rnacentral:sRNA from 1 species
UGGUAGAUGCACCCUGAUAACCCACUCCCCUAGUUGACUAAAUGUCUAAUUAGGGGUUUUUUUU